rnacentral:rRNA from 1 species
UUCGGGGUACACGAGUGGCGAAAGGGUGAGUAACACGUGGGUAAUCUGCCCUGCACAUCGGGAUAAGCCUGGGAAACUGGGUCUAAUACCGAAUAGGACCACAGAACACAUGUCCUGUGGUGGAAAGCUUUUGCGGUGUGGGAUGGGCCCGCGGCCUAUCAGCUUGUUGGUGGGGUGAUGGCCCACCAAGGCGACGACGGGUAGCCGGCCUGAGAGGGUGUCCGGCCACACUGGGACUGAGAUACGGCCCAGACUCCUACGGGAGGCAGCAGUGGGGAAUAUUGCACAAUGGGCGAAAGCCUGAUGCAGCGACGCCGCGUGGGGGAUGACGGCCUUUCGGGUUGUAAACCUCUUUCACCAUCGACGAAGGUUCGGGUUUUCUCGGAUUGACGGUAGGUGGAGAAGAAGCACCGGCCAACUACGUGCCAGCAGCCGCGGUAAUACGUAGGGUGCGAGCGUUGUCCGGAAUUACUGGGCGUAAAGAGCUCGUAGGUGGUUUGUCGCGUUGUUCGUGAAAUCUCACGGCUUAACUGUGAGCGUGCGGGCGAUACGGGCAGACUUGAGUACUGCAGGGGAGACUGGAAUUCCUGGUGUAGCGGUGGAAUGCGCAGAUAUCAGGAGGAACACCGGUGGCGAAGGCGGGUCUCUGGGCAGUAACUGACGCUGAGGAGCGAAAGCGUGGGGAGCGAACAGGAUUAGAUACCCUGGUAGUCCACGCCGUAAACGGUGGGUACUAGGUGUGGGUUUCCUUCCUUGGGAUCCGUGCCGUAGCUAACGCAUUAAGUACCCCGCCUGGGGAGUACGGCCGCAAGGCUAAAACUCAAAGAAAUUGACGGGGGCCCGCACAAGCGGCGGAGCAUGUGGAUUAAUUCGAUGCAACGCGAAGAACCUUACCUGGGUUUGACAUGCACAGGACGCCGGCAGAGAUGUCGGUUCCCUUGUGGCCUGUGUGCAGGUGGUGCAUGGCUGUCGUCAGCUCGUGUCGUGAGAUGUUGGGUUAAGUCCCGCAACGAGCGCAACCCUUGUCUCAUGUUGCCAGCGGGUAAUGCCGGGGACUCGUGAGAGAACUGCCGGGGUCAACUCGGAGGAAGGGUUGGGGAUGACGUCAAGUCAUCAUGCCCCUUAAUGUCCAGGGCUUCACACAUGCUACAAUGGCCGGUACAAAGGGCUGCGAUGCCGCGAGGUUAAGCGAAUCCUUUUAAAGCCGGUCUCAGUUCGGAUCGGGGUCUGCAACUCGACCCCGUGAAGUCGGAGUCGCUAGUAAUCGCAGAUCAGCAACGCUGCGGUGAAUACGUUCCCGGGCCUUGUACACACCGCCCGUCACGUCAUGAAAGUCGGUAACACCCGAAGCC